AGAUUCUGACCUCUUCCGUCAACACCAUCCAACUAAUUCACCUGCGUGCCACCAUGAAGCCAGUGAUGCUUACAAAUGGAAACCACAGCUUCUUCUGUGAGCACUUUGGAAAGAGAGAGCAGAAAAUCGGGCUGCCUUUCGGGAAUCAUGAGGCCUUACACAGGAUUCUAGACCUCCAUCGGGAGCUAUUAAAUGGGAUUGAGGUUAGAGGUGGGGCAGGCAUUAGGGGAGGAUCCUGAAUUUACCUCUCUCCUCACAAUAGCUUCUCAGCAUCGAUUGCCUUUUCUCCAGGUUGUGGGGAAGUAGGUGGGGCUCAAAACAUAUUUUUUUCCUACUCCUGAAAUGUAGAACUUGUAUAUGUAUUUUAAAGGACCACUGAGCAGUUCUAGAUGGACCAAUCCAAUUUUAUAAUUCAACUUUAUAGGAUGAAUGAUGGAAGAUUACUUUGACUAGCUCUUUGUAGUUCUAUGAAGAAAACCUUAGCACACUGGGUCAGUUCUUGGGUCCGCUGGUAGCUUAGUUACCUGUUCUGUGGUGCAUUUUCUUAAUCCAGUACAUCCAGGAGUGUGCUAGCCUUUCUUUCUCUCUGUGUUUCUUAGCUUGGAAACAAUCUUCCUCCCUUUUGGCACUCAAAAUGGUUUCAUUUACAUCCAGUUUUAUUUACUCAGACAAUAUUGAACUUGACUAUAUUUUGUACCACAUCUUCUGUUUGGAGCUGGGAAUGAAUACACAAGGAAGUCAAUCAAAGGCAGUUCUAGCCUUGCCCUCACUACAUGCAGUCAAAUGUGGGCUACAACAGUUAAGCAGGCUUGUGACACGAGGAAAAGACUAUGUGACACAGAGCUCAAGAGCCUUUUGGGAGCCCUCAGGGUGUGCUGUUUUCCAACCUUGCAGUGUUCGGAGCCAGUAGCUUUCUUCAGAGGCAGGGAUGAAGUGGAGCCGGCAUACACUGUGGCAAUCCUCCUCCUCUGAAACUCUGCAGGAUAAAAGAAAUCCUCUCCUCUCUGGACUUUGGGAUGUGAAGAGGUCUUUUCUCUUUGGAAUAGUGUAUGGCCUAUCUGUUCCAUCGCAGCAAGAGUAGCAGGUUGUCUUGGGAAGACAAAAUGUGUUACUUUACAGGGAAGCAGGAGCAGGGAGGAGGCUGACAUUUAUAAAGUAACUAUAUUAGAUACAACAUUUAAGUUGCCUUCCGGACUUUAAAUGUACCCAACUCACU
ensembl:sense_intronic Gm3364 predicted gene 3364